UACGAAGGGGGGCUAGCGUUGCUCGGAAUUACUGGGCGUAAAGGGCGCGUAGGCGGCACUGUUAGUCAGGCGUGAAAUUCCUGGGCUCAACCUGGGGGACUGCGCUUGAUACGGCAGAGCUUGAGGAUGGAAGAGGGUCGCGGAAUUCCCCAGUGUAGAGGUGAAAAUUCGUAGAUAUUGGGGAAAGAACACCGGUGGCGA
rnacentral:rRNA from 1 species